UACGUAGGUGACAAGCGUUGUCCGGAUUUACUGGGCGUAAAGAGCGCGCAGGCGGUCGAUCAAGUCGAGUGUGAAAGCCCCCGGCUCAACUGGGGAGGGUCAUUCGAUACUGAUCGACUCGAAGGCAGGAGAGGGUAGUGGAAUUCCCGGUGUAGAGGUGAAAUUCGUAGAUAUUCGCAAGAACACCAGUGGCGAAGGCGGCUCACUGGCCCGAUACUGACGCUGAGGCACGAAAGCGUGGGGAGCAAACAGG
rnacentral:rRNA from 1 species